UCUUUGCUUUUUGUUUCAGGUUCAGUUUUCCGAAAACAAGUUUUGUAUACCUUGUAUGCCAAAAACACCAAAACAAUGGGAAACAAUUGAAGCAUUCAUAUUCAUCUACAUGUUUAAAUUGCCUGCCCUGGUCUCUAGUCUGAAAUGGGCAUCAAGAGGAAAAGGAGCAGCUGCCCGGACUGGCGGCGAUGGCUGUGCUGGGACUUGGUGUUUGUUUGCUUCUGAGUUUGUCUGUUUCUCUGUUUGCGUGUAUGUCUAUUUGUCUCUGAGUUAUCUGGGCGAUGACCGGCGAUUGUCUAGACCCUGCUCUCUCUGGCUGUCUGGUUGUGUCUGCGUGUGUGUGCGCGCUUAGUUUGCUAUUUGUAUUGGAAGUUAAGGAAUUGCAGCUCUUUAAGUGUUCAUUUAACAAUUGAAAGUUUUAAUCGACUUUCUUUGUACAGCACUCUUGUGCGCCCCAACUGACUUCAAAUCAAGUAAGUAUAUGUGUGCGAAUGGCGUCUACAUUAAAAGCGAAAGUUGACAAAA